UCGGAAAUAAAAUAUAUUCUCAAAACUGAACUCAACGGUGGCAUCGAUGAGCCACAGUGUUGCCAAACCAUACCGAAGAGGAAUGCGGAUCGUGUCAAAAUUAUUUUUCCGGAUCACCCAGUGAGGUGACCGUUUUCGUUCGCAGUUUUGAAAAAGUAAACAAACAACAACACGCUCUCUUAGUCUCUUAUCUGAAAGUAAUUUCGAAACUCCUUCAAGACUGAUGAACUUUCUGUUUUGUUCGGACAAUGCCUGAUGUGACUUAAUAAUGUUUCUUGCCUUAUGGAAUUCUACGUUUCACAAAAAUGUCACGUAAUGAAGACUACCAAAACUUACUUUCCUCUAUUGAAGUUGAAAUUAUGCGUUAUCUACAAUUCAAGGAGCAAGGAGACAAUAUCCAAUUACAACACUCGGCAGAUGAGUUGACCACGUUUUUGUCCUUGGUCCGAAGCAUUGUCAACUAUGAACAUGAACCUGACAAGAGAAAUAUGUUAAGUACGUUAUCGAUAAUACUGAACACCGUACUUAAUGAUGUUGAUCCUAGCUCUCCAGUAAGUGACCGUACUGAAGUCUGUCCAGUCGCACCAACAUCGGUUUUACAUAAUGGCGGUGUUGGUCGGCCAACAUUGGCUGUCAAUCUGCAGAUGGUCCAGCGGCUUUGCAGCAUCGGUCUAUCUUGGGCUAAAAUUUCUAUGCACAUUAGUGUUAGCCGAACGACUUUGAAAAGGAGGAGAGCAGAGCUACCUGCGGAAAGGACCAUGGAUGAUAGACAUCUCUAUGAAACUAUUCACCAAUGCAAGUCAAAUAAUUCAACUUGUGGUGCACGCUACAUCCAUGGUCAUAUUUCAUCCCUUGGAUUCCGAGUCACUCGUUGUAGGAUAAGAGAGGCAUUAAGACGCGUAGAUCCUCACGGAACCAUUGUUAACAGACGUCUGCGAAUUUGCAUUAUUCCGAUUCAUUAUGGCACAUGGAUGGUAACUCCAAGCUGGUCCAUCUCUGUAACAGUGCAAUACGAAUGAUCCGGUGGACGAAAGACCGUAAGAUGCUGCUCAGAAGUUUCCGAAUGUAAUGGAGAAGACAGGAAUGUUUCAUCAUUAUUUUCAUUAGAGAUGACACAUGUUUCUCUUAAUGUUUCAUUUGUUUCACCCGAGGCAUCAUAUGUUUCAUCGGAGAUGGCUGGUGUUUCGUCAGUGUCAAUGCGGGCGUCGCGCUAAGCGAUCAUUCGGGAGAGCGGCGUGCAAAAUAAGGAAACUGGACGUUCAAAAAAACACAACUGGAGAUGCGAGAAACGAAGGAAGAAAUGAUUAAAUAUGGAAGAAAUGGGCGGUAUCGACAAAAUUCGCGAUAAAUUUUCUUUUACGGAUAAUUCAAGUUGAAAUUGUUAUGAAAAAUAACAAACUAGAUUCAAGGGAAAGAGGACCAAUCACAUGAUGAGGACACUAAAAUAAUCAAGGAGUGGAAUACGAAGGAUGCCCAUGCUCAUGAAAUCAUCGCAAUAACAAAUUAUAAGAGUAUUUCAGUGCAUUUGGACUGUAAACUUGCAUUGGAGAUGUAAGAAAAAAAUCUUAAACCGUUUGAAAAAGACGACUAACAACAAGGGUGCAAUCUCCUUCAGGAUUUUUUCUAUUUCAAACAUACAAAGGGUGAAGCGACUAUGACGAAUGUGGAAGUCCAAGAAGUUGGAAAGCACUUUUUCAUGAUUUAAAAUAAUAAAACAAGACCAAAAUGAAAAACAGACGAGGAAAAUAAGUCAGGAUGCCUAUUUACAAAUGUGACUGAAAUGGAGUGCUGCCCAAGGGAACUGGCUAUACUAAUAUGAAGAAGAAAAUUAAUGGUUACGGAAUGUGUUAUACAGUUAAGGUAAUAAGCAUGUGAAGCAAGUGAGUAUCAACCACAAAAAAAGUGCAAAAUUUUACUCCAAAUGUCAUGCAAAUACCUUUUUUUUUCUCCCUUCAUGUUACCAAGUUCCUAAACUUUCAACCAAGUUCUGUGUCAUGAUUGUCACCUCAGGUAACAUCAGACACGAAGUGUCUAUUACCAUUUGUGAAAGAGAACGGUGAUGAAGUACCAAUGCAGAUGUACUUGCGUGACAUCAUAUUUAAUUUUUCGAUUUGAAGAAAAAAGGCUCCUGAAAUAGUUUCAACAUAUUAUUAAAAAAAAUCUUGAAUAAAUGCUUACAUCCUGUAUUCAGACCCCAAAAAUGAUAUACUUAUACAAAGAAGAACCAAUAAACAAUGCUUCAAAUGAACA